rnacentral:rRNA from 1 species
UGGGGAAUUUUGCACAAUGGGGGAAACCCUGAUGCAGCGACGCCGCGUGAUUUAGAAGGCCUUCGGGUUGUAAAAAUCUUUUUUAUGGGAUGAAAAUGACAGUACCAUAAGAAUAAGGUCCGGCCAAAUACGUGCCAGCAGCCGCGGUAAUACGUAUGGACCGAGCGUUGUCCGGAAUCAUUGGGCGUAAAGGGUACGUAGGCGGCCCAGUAAGUUAGAAGUGAAAUAAUAUAGCUCAACUAUAUAAAGCUUUUAAAACUGCUAGGCUUGAGGGAUGGAAGGGAAAGUGGAAUUCCUAGUGUAGCGGUGAAAUGCGCAGAUAUUAGGAAGAAUACCGGUGGCGAAGGCGACUUGCUGGUCAUCAUCUGACGCUGAGGUACGAAAGCGUGGGUAGCAAACAGG